GCACACUUUCUCAGCUUCUUCACAGAUACAUGCUGGAACACACAAAUUCACUCCUUUUUAAAAAGUUUCUAUAGGACUCUUAUCAGAUUGUAGCGCCAUAUAUAAGUUUAACAGCACUGUGUGUGUUCAAUCUGUAGGGGUCAACGUGCCCUACCUCUGACUUUCACCUCCAGGAAGCAGUGAGAGGACAUUAUCUGGUCCAGGUUGGAUCUGAUUAGCGCCUGUUUGGCUGAUGCUGCCUGACGACACUCCUCCCUCAGAGCCUCCAGACUUGCAUGCCCAGCAGCAUUUCCCAGGAUUCAUAGCGUCCUUUGUCCUGUCGGUAGAGUCGGAGGGCUCGGACGUAGGCCUGGCUCUCAUAGGAUGAGUCGCACCAGGGGUCUGCAGGAAGCGUGGACUUGGUUAUGAUUCUGGAGUUUUUUGUGGUCCAGUUCCCCAUAAGACUUAAGGUCAUUCAUUUCUUACUAAAUGAUGGAGGGCAUUUGAGGAACAGAAAGCUCCACUAAUGGUGUUUCUGGUUUCGAAGCUUUGGGGUCUGGGUCUGUGGUUGCGGGCUUCCUGUUCCUCCUCAACACUCUCUGCCACAAUUAGACCAACCGGUCGAGGCAGAUGGCCGCCCACCCUGACUCACGCUGCUGUUUCUACCUCCAUAAGAGGGAGGUUUUCCUUAUCGGUGUCGCUAAGUGUUUGAUGGUGGUCGCAGUGUCUGAUGCAGGUCUUGACGGCAGACCGGAAGAGAUCUCGUUCCUCUUUCUGUUGGAACAGGAAGCAGGUGUAGCCCAUGUAAGGCAGGUGCAGAUACACGGCGAACACAUCUGGAGACGGCACCACCGAAGAAGAAUCCUCCUUCACUCCUUCACACAUGGACACACACAGACAGAGGGAUUUGCCUCGCUGCUGCCAGGUGGCUCGUUGAUCAGGAAAUGACUGUGGAAGUUGACACGACAUCGGCACGAACUUCAGCUGAUGUACCACGGCCAACUGGUAAGCAAAUCUUCAGACCUCCCAGGAACCUGCAGUCCACAGAAAAGGGCUUGCUCUCCGUCCCCCCCGACACCAGACUGCAAACAUAUGUGGACAGGGCCUUCAGCAUCUUUGGACACGUUUAAAAAACUGCUAAAAAUCCACCUAUAAUCUAGAAGGACUUCCUGCUGUUCUGGUAUUUGUUUGUUUUUGUGAGGUUAUGUGUAAAGCGUCCUUGGGUCCCUUGAAAGGCUCUAUAAAAAUAUAUGUCAUCAUUAUUAUUACCAACAUAUUGAAUAAGCUGCUUCUCAUUUUUUAUUUUUGCAUUACCAAUUGUCGUUGUUGUUGUUGUUGACGUGGCUGUAUGACCUCUUCUCUGGUAAUCUUUUGACAGUACCGAGUCAGAGUUCUGUGAUUUAUGUCAAAAUUCUUUGCUGCACUCCUGAUUGAUUUGUUCUUCAACUUCACAUGCAUGACUGCCAUUAACAUCAUGGUUAUAGAUUUUCAUGAAGUAAAAUAAUUAUUUGCUCCGACUCAAAGAAUGAAGUUAUGAAAAUUUAAAUCAACUAAAAAAGCAAUGUUGAGACAACAAGAACACUGUAGUUAUAUCAAGGCAGCAGGUGAAUUUGCAAUUCCAUGUUAAACUAACUUGAAAGGUCUUACAGUCUGUAGUCCAGGGAUAUGCCUGCUGAAA